UCGGGAAUUUUGGGCAAUGGGCGAAAGCCUGAUCCAGCCAUGCCGCGUGGAUGAUGAAGGCCUUAGGGUUGUAAAAUCCUUUCGUUGGGGACGAUAAUGACGGUACCCAAAGAAGAAGCUCCGGCUAACUUCGUGCCAGCAGCCGCGGUAAUACGAAGGGGGCUAGCGUUGUUCGGAUUUACUGGGCGUAAAGCGCGUGUAGGCGGAUUUGUAAGUUGGGGGUGAAAUCCCGAGGCUCAACCUCGGAACUGCCUCCAAAACUACAAGUCUGGACCUAAGUAGAGGCAAGUGGAAUUGCGAGUGUAGAGGUGAAAUUCGUAGAUAUUCGCAGGAACACCAGUGGCGAAGGCGACUUGCUGGACUUAUGGUGACGCUGAGACGCGAAAGCGUGGGGAGCAAACAGGAUUAGAUACCCAAGUAGUCCCUGAGCGGGCUGGCAAGGCGCAU
rnacentral:rRNA from 1 species